rnacentral:lncRNA from 1 species
AUGAUAGCAGAAAAGUAGUAACAUUAUGCUUUAUAAUUAUUUUGCAUAAUAGACUGAUUUGCUAAUUUCAUCCAUCUUUUUCGGUAUCAUAUGAUCUUGUGUUCGGCUAUCAUCUAUUGUGACUCACUGUCUUUUUUCCCUUAAAAAUCAGUGGGUUCGAUCAAUCUGUUACAUCGUUGCCUAUUUCAUAAACUCCUGCACUAGGAGAUAACAUGCUUUGUUUUACCCCAUAU